rnacentral:rRNA from 1 species
GCAUAUCAAUAAGCGGAGGAAAAGAAACCAACAGGGAUUGCCCCAGUAACGGCGAGUGAAGCGGCAAUAGCUCGAAUUUGAAAUCUGGCCUAGGCCCGAGUUGUAAUCUGUAGAGGAUGCUUUUGGCGCGGUGCCUUCCGAGUUCCCUGGAACGGGACGCCACAGAGGGUGAGAGCCCCGUAUGGUCGGACGCCAAGCCUCUGUAAAGCUCCUUCGACGAGUCGAGUAGCUUGGGAAUGCUGCUCUAAAUGGGAGGUAAACUUCUUCUAAAGCUAAAUACCGGCUAGAGACCGAUAGCGCACAAGUAGAGUGAUCGAAAGAUGAAAAGCACUUUGAAAAGAGGGUUAAACAGUACGUGAAAUUGUUGAAAGGGAAGCGCUUGUGACCAGACUUGCGCCGGGCUGAUCAUCCAGCGGUCUCCGCUGGUGCACUCGGUCCGGCUCAGGCCAGCGUCGGUUGUCGCGGGGGGAUAAAAGCCUAGGGAAUGUAGCUCCUUCCGGGGAGUGUUACAGCCCUCCGCAGAAUAUCCCCGCGGCGACCGAGGUCCGCGCCCUGCAAGGACGCUGGCGUAAUGGUCAUCAGCGACCCGUCUUGAAACACGGACC